GAAGCAUCAAAACCACAGAGCCGGGCUGGGAUCUAACAUCAUCUCCCUGUGAAGCACAGGGCUUUUGUCCCUCCUUAGUCUCCACCCGCUGCCCUUUGAGCUCUGAAAACUGCAAGUUUGGAAACCAACCUUUGUCACAAAAUCUCCCGCAUUCUUCCAGCCACAAACCUCCACCCUGUGGGCCCCGUAGUCGAAGCGUCCAAGAGGAGCCCUGGGGGUGGGACACCGUGCGCUGAGCCCGUCCCAGGAGAGAUGCCACCACCACAGUGCAAGAAAGCUCACGGCGAGGUGGCAGCUGGACUCAAACCCAUGGGCACUUUUUGGGCUACAAACUGGAUGAAAUGGGAUCCCUGGAAAGCCCGACUGCGACC